rnacentral:rRNA from 1 species
CUUCCGAUCUUCAGAACGUACGCUGGCGGCACGCCUAACACAUGCAAGUCGAACGAAGUAGCAAUACUUAGUGGCAGACGGGUGAGUAACAUGUGGGUAUCUACCCUUUGGCCUGGAAUAACACGAGGAAACUUGUGCUAAUACCGGAUAAGUCUUUACGGAGAAAGCUUUAUGCACCAUUGGAUGAGCCCGCACUUGAUUAGUUUGUUGGUAGGGUAAUGGCCUACCAAGACUAUGAUCAAUAGCUGAUUUGAGAGGAUGAUCAGCCACAUUGGGACUGAGACACGGCCCAAACUCCUACGGGAGGCAGCAGUGGGGAAUCUUGCACAAUGGAGGAAACUCUGAUGCAGCGAUGCCGCGUGAGUGAAGAAGGCCUUUGGGUUGUAAAGCUCUUUCGUCGGGGAAGAAAAUGACUGUACCCGAAUAAGAAGGUCCGGCUAACUUCGUGCCAGCAGCCGCGGUAAUACGAAGGGACCUAGCGUAGUUCGGAAUUACUGGGCUUAAAGAGUUCGUAGGUGGUUGAAAAAGUUGGUGGUGAAAUCCCAGAGCUUAACUCUGGAACUGCCAUCAAAACUUUUCAGCUAGAGUAUGAUAGAGGAAAGCAGAAUUUCUAGUGUAGAGGUGAAAUUCGUAGAUAUUAGAAAGAAUACCAAUUGCGAAGGCAGCUUUCUGGAUCAUUACUGACACUGAGGAACGAAAGCAUGGGUAGCGAAGAGGAUUAGAUACCCUCGUAGUCCAUGCCGUAAACGAUGUGUGUUAGACGUUGGAAAUUUAUUUUCAGUGUCGCAGGGAAACCGAUAAACACACCGCCUGGGGAGUACGACCGCAAGGUUAAAACUCAAAUGAAUUGACGGGGACCCGCACAAGUAGUGGAGCAUGUGGUUUAAUUCGAAAAUACGCGCAGAACCUUACCAACACUUGACAUGUUCGUCGCGACUCUAAGAGAUUAGAGUUUUCGGUUCGGCCGGACGAAACACAGGUGCUGCAUGGCUGUCGUCAGCUCGUGUCGUGAGAUGUUGGGUUAAGU